rnacentral:rRNA from 1 species
UACGUAGGGUGCAAGCGUUAAUCGGAAUUACUGGGCGUAAAGCGUGCGCAGGCGGUUAUUUAAGACAGUUGUGAAAUCCCCGGGCUCAACCCGGGAACUGCAUCUGUGACUGCAUAGCUAGAGUACGGUAGAGGGGGAUGGAAUUCCGCGUGUAGCAGUGAAAUGCGUAGAUAUGCGGAGGAACACCGAUGGCGAAGGCAAUCCCCUGGACCUGUACUGACGCUCAUGCACGAAAGCGUGGGGAGCAAACAGG